rnacentral:pre_miRNA from 1 species
CAAGUACUCCCUCCAUCCCGAAUUACUUGUCACAAGUAUGGAUGUAUCUAGAUGUAUUUUAGUUCUAGAUACAUCCAUUUCUGCGACGAGUAAUUUGGAAUGGAGGGAGUAGUAG